CGGUUGAUCCUGCCAGUAGUCAUAUGCUUGUCUCAAAGAUUAAGCCAUGCAUGUCUAAGUAUAAGCAACUAUACUGUGAAACUGCGAAUGGCUCAUUAAAUCAGUUAUCGUUUAUUUGAUAGUACCUUACUACAUGGAUAACCGUGGUAAUUCUAGAGCUAAUACAUGCUAAAAACCUCGACUUCGGAAGGGGUGUAUUUAUUAGAUAAAAAACCAAUGCCCUUCGGGGCUCCCUGGUGAUUCAUAAUAACUUAACGAAUCGCAUGGCCUUGUGCCGGCGAUGGUUCAUUCAAAUUUCUGCCCUAUCAACUUUCGAUGGUAGGAUAGUGGCCUACCAUGGUUUCAACGGGUAACGGGGAAUUAGGGUUCUAUUCCGGAGAGGGAGCCUGAGAAACGGCUACCACAUCCAAGGAAGGCAGCAGGCGCGCAAAUUACCCAAUCCCGACACGGGGAGGUAGUGACAAUAAAUACUGAUACAGGGCUCUUUCGAGUCUUGUAAUUGGAAUGAGUACAAUUUAAAUCCCUUAACGAGGAACAAUUGGAGGGCAAGUCUGGU
rnacentral:rRNA from 1 species